CGUGGGUAAUCAACCCUCGACACUGGGAUAGCCCGGGGAAACCCGGAUUAAUACCGGAUGGCCCUUUGGAUCCUCGGAUCUGAAGGAAAAGGUAGCCUCGGCCUCCGGUCGAGGACGAGCCCGCGGCGGAUUAGCUUGUUGGUGAGGUAACGGCCCACCAAGGCGACGAUCCGUAGCUGGUCUGAGAGGACGAUCAGCCACACUGGGACUGAGACACGGCCCAGACUCCUACGGGAGGCAGCAGUGGGGAAUCUUGCGCUAAUGCGGGAAACCGUGACGCAGCGACGCCGCGUGAGGGAAGAAGGCCUUCGGGUUGUAAACCUCUUUCAGGAGGGACGAAGCCACUCGGGUGAAUAGCCCAGAGGGUGACGGUACCUCCAGAAGAAGCCCCGGCUAACUACGUGCCAGCAGCCGCGGUAAUACGUAGGGGGCUAGCGUUGUCCGGAUUUAUUGGGCGUAAAGAGCGUGUAGGCGGCUAGGUAGGUCCGUUGUGAAAACUCGAGGCUCAACCUCGAGACGUCGAUGGAAACCAUCUGGCUAGAGUCCGGAAGAGGAGAGUGGAAUUCCUGGUGUAGCGGUGAAAUGCGCAGAUAUCACGAAGAACACCCGUGGC
rnacentral:rRNA from 1 species